rnacentral:lncRNA from 1 species
UCCUUGAUAACUUCCUGACUGGUUUAUGUUUCGGUGGUUGGUGUUGUUGUUGUUGCUGUUGUUGUUGUUGCGGUUAUCCCAUUUCCUCUUUCCCAGAUAACUUCCACCACUGCUACUACCUCCACGAGUCUCUCCCCCAGCAUUUUUGUUCUUCUUCUCUUUGUUGUAUUGGCUCAAUGCCUCUCUACCUCCCUCAGCAAUUAUCGCCUUCUCCAAUAAUGUGGCGAACGAGUCGAUUUGAAGGACCGACACCUUGUUAAACAACCAAGGUUUUAGUCCAAGUUCGAAGCGUCGAGAUUUCC